UGGGGAAUAUUGGGGCAAUGGGGGGAAACCCUGACCCAGCAACGCCGCGUGAGGGAAGAAGGUUUUCGGAUUGUAAACCUCUGUCCUAUGGGAAGAAGAAAGUGACGGUACCAUAGGAGGAAGCCCCGGCUAACUACGUGCCAGCAGCCGCGGUAAUACGUAGGGGGCGAGCGUUGUCCGGAAUUACUGGGCGUAAAGGGUGCGUAGGCGGCCCUGCAGGUCAGAUGUGAAAUACCCGUGCUUAACAUGGGGGCUGCAUUUGAAACCGUAGGGCUUGAGUGCGGAAGAGGUAAGUGGAAUUCCCGGUGUAGCGGUGAAAUGCGUAGAGAUCGGGAGGAACACCAGUGGCGAAGGCGACUUACUGGGCCGCAACUGACGCUGAGGCACGAAAGCGUGGGGAGCAAACAGGAUUAGAUACCCUGGUAGU
rnacentral:rRNA from 1 species